UACGUAGGUCCCGAGCGUUGUCCGGAUUUAUUGGGUUUAAAGGGUGCGUAGGCGGAUUUUUAAGUCAGCGGUAAAAUGUCCGGGCUCAACCCGGGCCGGCCGUUGAAACUGGGGAUCUUGAGUGGGCGAGAAGUAUGCGGAAUGCGUGGUGUAGCGGUGAAAUGCAUAGAUAUCACGCAGAACUCCGAUUGCGAAGGCAGCAUACCGGCGCCCGACUGGCGCUGAGGCACGAAAGCGUGGGGAUCGAACAGG
rnacentral:rRNA from 1 species